CUACGGGACGCACCAGUGGGGAAUAUUGGACAAUGGGGGAAACCCUGAUCCAGCAAUGCCGCGUGUGUGAAGAAGGCCUGCGGGUCGUAAAGCACUUUCGGUUGGGAGGACUGCUUCUAGCACUAAUAUUGUUGGAAGUUGACGUUACCUUCAGAAGAAGCACCGGCUAGCUCCGUGCCAGCAGCCGCGGUAAUACGGAGGGUGUAAGCGUUAAUCGGAAUUACUGGGCGUAAAGCGCGCGUAGGCGGCUAGAUCAGUCGGGUGUGAAAGCCCCGGGCUUAACCUGGGAACUGCAUCCGAUACUGUCUAGCUUGAGUACAGGAGAGGAGAGUGGAAUUCCACAUGUAGCGGUGAAAUGCGUAGAUAUGUGGAGGAACACCAAUGGCGAAGGCAGCUCUCUGGCCUGAUACUGACGCUGAGGUGCGAAAGCGUGGGGAGCAAACAGGAUUAGAUACCCGGGUAGUC
rnacentral:rRNA from 1 species